rnacentral:rRNA from 1 species
UCCGGAGCUAACGCGUUAAAUCGACCGCUGGGGAGUACGGCCGCAAGGUUAAAACUCAAAUGAAUUGACGGGGGCCCGCACAAGCGGUGGAGCAUGUGGUUUAAUUCGAUGCAACGCGAAGAACCUUACCUGGUCUUGACAUCCAUAGAAUCUUUCAGAGAUGAGAGAGUGCCUUCGGGAGCUAUGAGACAGGUGCUGCAUGGCUGUCGUCAGCUCGUGUUGUGAAAUGUUGGGUUAAGUCCCGCAACAAGCGCAACCCCUAUCCUUUGUUGCCAGCACGUAAUGGUGGGAACUCAAAGGAGACUGCCGUUGAUAAAGCGGAGGAAGGUGGGGACGACGUCAAGUCAUCAUGGCCCUUACGACCAGGGCUACACACGUGCUACAAUGGCGUAUACAAAGGGAUGCGAAGGUGCGAACUGGAGCGGACCUCACAAAGUACGUCUAAGUCCGGAUUGGAGUCUGCAACUCGACUCCAUGAAGUCGGAAUCGCUAGUAAUCGUGAAUCAGAAUGUCACGGUGAAUACGUUCCCGGGCCUUGUACACACCGCCCGUCACACCAUGGGAGUGGGUUGCACCAGAAGUAGAUAGCUUAACCUUCGGGAGGGCGUUUACCACGGUGUGGUUCAUGACUGGGGUGAAGUCGUAACAAGGUAACCA